rnacentral:rRNA from 1 species
GACGAACGCUGGCGGCGUGCUUAACACAUGCAAGUCGAGCGGUAAGGCCCUUUCGGGGUACGACCGAGGCGGCGAACGGGUGAGUAACACGUGGGUGACCUGCCUUUAGCUCUGGGAGUAAGCCGUGGGAAACUAGGGUCGUAAUACCGGAUAUGACUCCGCGGUGCAUGCUGUGGGGUGGAAAGCCUUGUGCGGCUGGAGAUGGGCCCGCGGACCUAUCAGCUUGGUUGGUGGGGUGAUGGCCUACCAAGGCGACGAC